AAGGCCUGCCCUAGUUUCACCCACCCCAUCCAUCUCCCUGGGCACACCUGCUCCUGCCAUCGGCACUCCUACUAUCAUGGCUGCAUCUGGGGUUUGGAGUUCACAGAAACCUCUUAAAAAGGCACCCAAUUGCUCAACUUUGCUAAGCAGAUGAAGAGUGAAAUAAAUGUUGCUUCACCAGCUGGUUGUUAUAAAGGCCAGCAUCACAUCAGUGGAGACAGUCCAGCCUCCCAGCCAGCCCUAAAGACACAGGCACCAGGAAAGGACCAGGCUCUCCAAGCCCCGGCCAGGCAACUUUGGCCCCAGUGGGCUGGAUGGUGGGAUGCAAUGAACCAUCCAACUUGGUGACUAAGGCUCUUUCUAACCAUGGAGUGUGGACAAAGGGAAAGUCUGUCAUCAGCAGACAAAGGAAGUAAUGCAGCUGUGAGCCUUCCAGGGCCAAAGAACAUUCAUCUGUGGGAAACUGCUCUGGACAAAAUCUGCCCUCCCACCUUCCCCCAGAGAAACCCCAAGGCAAAGAAGGCAAUGUGAAAACUAACCAUUUCCAGACAAGUGAACUCUCAGAUGCUAACAAUUUUCCUGUGUGUUAAGAGCAAAGCCAAACCACACAAAGAAGUGAAACUUCUGAACAUCCCACACCCAGGCAUUUAGUUUAUUACUCGGUUGGAAUUUCGGUGACUAUAGCCAUGUGAGUAAAGAUGCUCCCUGCAAGAACAGAAAGAUUCUGGUGGUUCUCUGAUGUAUAAUCUUUGGCCUUUAUCUUCUGGAUGCAUUGCACCCUACAAGAUGAUAAAAUAGUACAA
rnacentral:lncRNA from 1 species